rnacentral:lncRNA from 1 species
CAACAACCCCUCCAAACAGCUCCCUCCCUCUUGAGCUAGGUAAGGAGAAAUUUGAGGUGGAAGUUUUAUGGUGUUUAAGUUGUUUUCGUUCGAUUAGCCUAGUUAGGCUUGGAAUUGGGUGAUGUGUUGGUCAUGAAAGUUGUAGAGGAGAUUGAGAGGAAGAUUCUGUUAAAAUUUGGUAGCAUUUGCAGGUCGCCGGAAAACGGCUGCCGGCCGCCGCUGCCGGCGCCGCCGCCGCCGGUUAGGAAAUUUUUAGGGUUUUAAAUGUGGAAUAUUAAGAGGAGUAUAUUGGUGUGAUUUAUGGAAUUUUUGGAUGAGAUUUGGAUAGGUUUGUGAAUUUCCGAAGUUUGAUAUUUUUGGCGGUUAAUUAAUGUAGAAUCCGGCCGUAGGAUUUAAGUCGUAUUUUGAGGAGGUGGUAUUUACGACUGUUGAGUAUGAUAAUUAAGUUCGGAUCGUUCCGAUUUAAGAACCUCGAAGUUAGGCAAUGAUGAGCGUAUUUAUGGCUCUCGGGUAAUUUUGCCUAUUUUGAUUAAAUAUGGGAUUAUUGGUUGGGAAAUUAAUAUUUUAUUUGGAACAGGACGUGAGGAGGCUCGAGCAGACGAGACCCCAGAUCGACAGCAGGCUUAGGCCUAAUUUGUGAGUGGACUUUUAUUUGAAAUAAUAUGCAUGCUAUGGUUCAUGAUUGAACAUUUCCUUUUGUUGGAGUUUUGACGUUAAUUAAUUUUGACGCUUUUAUUUCUCUGCGAGAGAGUUACCGAAAAUAGGAUUUUCGGUGAAUAUAAAUAUGUAUAUAUGAGAGAGUAUGUAUAGAAAAUGCUAGCUAGCCAUAUGUGUCUGUCCACCUUAAUGGCGUAGCAUAUAGCCGCAUUAUGGUGUGACGUGAGCGUUGGACGUGAGCGUAGUAGCCCUAUUUGAGUGUUUAAUUCAUAUAGGGGGUAUGGACACAUAUUUAUACACCCGUCUGUCCACCUUGAUGGCGUAGUGUAGCACCGCAUUAAGGCGUGACGUGAGCGUUGGACGCGAGCGUAGUAGCCCUAUAUAGACCCAUGAAUUUAUAUAGGGAGUAUGGACGAGUGUAAAUGCAUACAUAUAUUAUAGAGUCUGAGAGGCUCGACAUUUAUGAGAUAAAAGUUUUAUCGCUUGCGGCAUGCAUUCGAUUUUUCCUUAGAAAUUAAUUUGGGGA